UUACUGUGAUGAAUUAUUUCCAAAACAUUUGCAGUUUCCACCAGAAGGGAUUUCUUCUCUUGUGUUGGCCAAACCUUCCUUGGAUGUCUGAGUGA